rnacentral:rRNA from 1 species
GGAUUGUAGGCUGAAACUCGCCUACAUGAAGCUGGAGUUGCUAGUAAUCGCGAAUCAGAAUGUCGCGGUGAAUACGUUCCCGGGUCUUGUACACACCGCCCGUCACACCAUGGGAGUCGGAUAUGCCCGAAGUCAGUGACCCCAACCAUAUGGGAGGGAGCUGCCGAAGGUGGAGCCGAUAACUGGGGUGAAGUCGUAACAAGGUAUC